rnacentral:lncRNA from 1 species
AUGUGCAGCCAUGUAGGAUUAAACGCGUCUUUAAACACAUCUAUAUCAGUUCCCAGGGUAGCUCAAAGAGAAGUGGAACAGAGCCGUGAGGAAGAGGGUCAAACAAACAGCGUAGACACUGACGAGCUAGAAACUAUGCUGCCAAAAACAGUGAAGAUUGAAGUAAAAGUCGAGGAGGCUUCAGAAAGCUGCAACAACACAGAGGAGCGCCCAAAUACGGAACACAAAACGACGUUGCAGCAUUGUAUUCAGCAGAAAAAUGAGAGAAAACGACCAAACGCCACGCCUGAAAAAUGUCCAAAUGAGCAUCUGGGACCAGAAAAGACCCCUAAAAGACCUCGACUCAUCUCCAGUGAUGACUCCACACCUAAAACACCCGCAGCGGUCCCAAAAAGUGCACCAAAGAAGGAAACCAGCAGGAUUUCUACAACAAUUAUCAAGUUGUGCUGCGUUGAGCGGGAUACAAUUGUUUUCUGUGGGAGCUGCUCUCUGAAGGUGGAAGGCGUCGGCCAUUUUACCGAGAUCAAACACCCAAAGAUGGAUCCAGUGGUCGUUAAUCUCAAGGAAAACAUGUACAAUGACAUUUCCAAUCAAAGCUUUCAGUCAGUCAUCCAAACGCUGCAGAUUCAGAUGUUACUGCCUUGGUCAGACGGCGGCUGUAGCCUUUGUUCUGCCUCACCUCCGUCUGCUGGUGGCGCCAUUACCUCGACACGUCACUGUGAAGACGAUAGGAAGGUGGUGGAUAUGGAGCUGUGCAACGAUUUAGAAGGUGAUGCCACAAUGCCAGACUCGUCUGCAAGGACUGAAACUUUGUGCAAAGCAUCUCAAGACCAAGAGUUCAAGCACCACAACCCUCGGGCUGGUUUAGUGCAACCUCAUCGGCACACUAUCUCAACAACCACAACCAGUUUGCCUCCUAAAGGCUCUGAAAUCGUUUCUCCAGACACGACCGUUGCGUCACUGAAAUUUCCUAGAAUAAAAGAAGAGGCACCCACUCCCUCUGUAGACGUGUGUAAAUCUGCACCUAAAGCGCCUAAACCCUCCUCCACCUGUGCUGCUACCGUCUCGGAUGCAUCACCCCAGUCUGCCUCCAUGACAAAUAAAAGUGCAUCCAAGGUGAAAUCGGCCUCUGGCGCUGCUGCUGCAAAUGUUGGCAGCAGAAAUGGUCCCAGAAGUGCGGAAGCAUCUAAAGGUUCAGCUGCAGCUUCCGUGCCUGCUGCUAACGUGGCUAAACCUGUUGAUGACUACCCCUCUGCUAAGACUUCUCAUGUGAACAAAUCAGAGGGAGAACAUGCAAAUGCGUACAAGAGGAACUCGCCUACGGCUCUUAGCCCAAAGGCCACCUUGCUUUCCAGCUCGGAACACAAGAAUCGACACAAAGACCCCCCACACGUGUCUGCAACCAGCAAGACACCAGCCGGAAACCUCGCUAAAGUUGGCACGUUCACUUUGAUUUAG